rnacentral:rRNA from 1 species
CUACGGGGGGCUGCAGUAGGGAAUAUUGCGCAAUGGGCGAAAGCCUGACGCAGCAAUGCCGUGUGAGUGAGGAAGGCCUUCGGGUUGUAAAGCUCUGUCAGGGUGGAAAAAUGGGCAUAAGUCGAAUAGGCUUAUGUUUUGAUGGUACACCCAAAGGAAGCACCGGCUAACUUCGUGCCAGCAGCCGCGGUAAUACGAAGGGUGCAAGCGUUGUUCGGAUUUAUUGGGCGUAAAGCGCGCGCAGGCGGGUUAUUAAGCCAGAUGUGAAAUCUCGGGGCUCAACUUCGAAAGUGCGUCUGGAAAUGGUAACCUAGAAUGACAUAGGGGGAAGGGGAAUUUCUCAUGUAGGGGUAAAAUCCGUAGAGAUGAGAAGGAACACCGGAGGCGGAGGCGCCUUCCUGGAUGUCUAUUGACGCUGAGGCGCGAAAGCGUGGGGAGCAAACAGGAUUAGAUACCCGCGUAGUC